rnacentral:rRNA from 1 species
UACGUAGGUGGCAAGCGUUGUCCGGAAUUAUUGGGCGUAAAGCGCGCGCAGGUGGUUUCUUAAGUCUGAUGUGAAAGCCCACGGCUCAACCGUGGAGGGUCAUUGGAAACUGGGGAACUUGAGUGCAGGAGAGAAGAGUGGAAUUCCACGUGUAGCGGUGAAAUGCGUAGAGAUGUGGAGGAACACCAGUGGCGAAGGCGGCUCUUUGGUCUGUAACUGACGCUGAGGCGCGAAAGCGUGGGGAUCAAACAGG